UACGAAGGGUGCAAACGUUGCUCGGAAUCAUUGGGCGUAAAGCGCACGUAGGCGGCCUUGUAAGUCGGAUGUGAAAUCCCACGGCUCAACCGUGGACGUGCAUUCGAAACUGCUCGGCUCGAGUAUGGAAGAGGGUCGCGGAAUUCCCGGUGUAGAGGUGAAAUGCGCAGAUAUCGGGAGGAGCACCCGUAGCGAAGGCGGCCGACUGGACCAUACUUGACGCUGAGGCGCGAAGGCCAGGGGAGCGAACGGG
rnacentral:rRNA from 1 species